GAGGACCUGGAGUGCCUCAAGGAUGGCGAGUUUCUCAACGACGUCGUCAUCGACUUCUACCUCAAGUAUCUUCUGUUGGAAAGAGCUGACAAAGAUGUGGCCGAAAGAUCUCACAUCUUCAGCAGCUUCUUCUAUAAGCAACUUACUCGAAAAGAUACUAGCUGUCCAGAAGAGACCAGCAGCACAGCCCCGUACAGACGACAUCAGAGAGUGAGAACGUGGACACGUCACGUGGACAUCUUUAGCA